GCCGAGCUCCCACGGUUGCGUCAGGAGACCUUUGCCUGUAGAUUUUAAGCCCAACUCUGCGCGCCGGCGUCCACUCAGGCUCAGCCUCAAUUUAAAGGCACAAGCGAGUCGAACCAGACUAUUCACUCUCCGAGCCCAAGCGGUCUCCGCAGCCAGAAGAGGGCACCAGAUUUCAUUACAGAUGGUUAUGAGCCACCAUGUGGUUGCUGGGAAUUGAACUCAGGACCUUUGGAAGAACAAGCAGUGCUCUUAACCUCUGAGCCAUCUCUCCAGCCCCCACUUAACUAUCUUUUAAGAAAACGGCUCCCAGUGGCUGCUUCUCCAAUCCGCGGCGUUUCCUUUCACCUAGAUGAUGUCAGUACAGCUAGUGAAAUGGAGCACACCUCCUUCAGUCCCUCGGCCUCUGGAAGAAACUAGAUUGCCGAGACACUGAGUACAGACGCUAAUGGAACUCAGAAUGAUGUGACAAGAGCAGAAAUGGUUAGUGCGACCCAACAUUUUACAUGCCCUACUAUUACAACCAAUGUGGUAAUUUGGAGGGGGAGGCAGCAAACAAGAAAACCCAUCUGGAUAGUGUGAGUUUGCAAACCAGUACCUUACCCUUAUAUUAACAGCUUGUAUAGAACAAAAUGCCAUUUUAAAAGUCUAGUUUGUACAGUCUUCUCUUGUAGUUUUUGUAAAAAAAAGAAAAAAAAGAAAAAAGUAUCAAAACCUUGUCUUUAAAUAUAUAUAUGUAUAUAUUUAUACAGGUAGCUUUUUUAAAAUUAGUUUUGACAACACAAAAUGUUGGCAAAUGCUGUUCCUGCUGAUUCUUAAGACUGUGCACAUGGUGAACAGUCUGAAUGAAGCUUCCUUUAAUUAACUGAAAAUCUGGAGCUCUAAUUUCCUCCACCUUCUAAAUUCUUUGUAUCUUGAAAAGUCCCAAAUACCCUAAAAAUAUAGUGUAAGGAGACUCUCUAUCUUCAUGCAUUUAUGAGGAAGGAAAUUAUAUAUUUAGAAACUGCUGACUGACUGACAUUUUGUGAAAUGGUGAGUGUGUGGCGGGAUGGGCGUGGUCUUUGUAUUCCUGUGGGAUUCGAAUUGUUUCCUCCCGCACCCAGUAGCACCUGACUGUACUGACUGGGAUACCCUCAGAUUCUGUAUCUCCAUCAUCUUGUUUUCUUUCUUACAGUUGAGAGAAAGGGAAAAGGUGCUUGACAUCACGGCGUGCUUCUGUGAAAACUCCACCGCUCUUACGUUAGUUUUCACCAACCGUGUCAAAAAUCUGACUCAAUGUUUUAAGUAGAAAGCAGUCAGCAUUCCCUGUGGCCACUGGAACGCUUGAGGUGGAAUGACGUCAUGCCUUCCAAAGUGCUGGCAGUAAGUUUUCCAUGCUGCCUUGUACACAGCACGCGACCAAAGGGCGGUCUGCUUCAUUCAAUCAGAGUUAUUUUAUAAAGUGCUUGUGUUGAACUUGU